GUGGCUGUAGCUCAGUUGGUUAGAGCACUGGUUUGUGGUACCAGGGGUCGCGGGUUCAAGUCCCGUUAGCCACCCCA
rnacentral:tRNA from 2 species